UACGUAGGGGGCAAGCGUUGUCCGGAAUCAUUGGGCGUAAAGCGCGUGUAGGCGGCUCGAUAAGUCUGCUGUGAAAGUCCAGGGCUCAACCCUGGGAUGCCGGUGGAUACUGUCAAGCUCGAGUCCGGAAGAGGCGAGUGGAAUUCCUGGUGUAGCGGUGAAAUGCGCAGAUAUCAGGAGGAACACCGAUGGCGAAGGCAGCUCGCUGGGACGGUACUGACGCUGAGACGCGAAAGCGUGGGGAGCAAACAGG
rnacentral:rRNA from 1 species